rnacentral:rRNA from 1 species
CCUACGGGAGGCAGCAGUGAGGAAUAUUGGUCAAUGGACGAGAGUCUGAACCAGCCAAGUAGCGUGAAGGAUGACUGCCCUAUGGGUUGUAAACUUCUUUUAUAUGGGAAUAAAACGUUCCACGUGUGGGAUUUUGUAUGUACCAUAUGAAUAAGGAUCGGCUAACUCCGUGCCAGCAGCCGCGGUAAUACGGAGGAUCCGAGCGUUAUCCGGAUUUAUUGGGUUUAAAGGGAGCGUAGGUGGAUUGUUAAGUCAGUUGUGAAAGUUUGCGGCUCAACCGUAAAAUUGCAGUUGAAACUGGCAGUCUUGAGUACAGUAGAGGUGGGCGGAAUUCGUGGUGUAGCGGUGAAAUGCUUAGAUAUAACGAAGAACUCCGAUUGCGAAGGCAGUUCACUGGACUGCAACUGACACUGAGGCUCGAAAGUGUGGGUAUCAAACAGGAUUAGAUACCCGAGUAGUC